rnacentral:rRNA from 1 species
CCGCGGUAAAACGUAGGUCACAAGCGUUGUCCGGAAUUACUGGGUGUAAAGGGAGCGCAGGCGGGAAGACAAGUUGGAAGUGAAAUCCAUGGGCUCAACCCAUGAACUGCUUUCAAAACUGUUUUUCUUGAGUAGUGCAGAGGUAGGCGGAAUUCCCGGUGUAGCGGUGGAAUGCGUAGAUAUCGGGAGGAACACCAGUGGCGAAGGCGGCCUACUGGGCACCAACUGACGCUGAGGCUCGAAAGUGUGGGUAGCAAACAGGAUUAGAUACCCUGGUAGUCCACACCGUAAACGAUGAUUACUAGGUGUUGGAGGAUUGACCCCUUCAGUGCCGCAGUUAACACAAUAAGUAAUCCACCUGGGGAGUACGACCGCAAGGUUGAAACUCAAAGGAAUUGACGGGGGCCCGCACAAGCAGUGGAGUAUGUGGUUUAAUUCGACGCAACGCGAAGAACCUUACCAAGUCUUGACAUCCCUUGACCAUGCUGGAAAUAUGAUUUUUCUUCGGAACAGGGAGACAGGUGGUGCAUGGUUGUCGUCAGCUCGUGUCGUGAGAUGUUGGGUUAAGUCCCGCAACGAGCGCAACCCUUAUGGUCAGUUACUACGCAAGAGGACUCUGGCCGGACUGC